AAAAACAAAUUCAGAGCAAUCAGAAAAUAUAAAUUACAUACUAGUUUUGAAUAUUUGUUCGUAAUUAAUAGCGAAAAAUAUUUAUAAAAUAAUUUAAACACUCAUAAUUUUUUAAUAUUACAAGAGUUUUUUAUUCGUUUUGUUAGUCUCGUUUCAAAAGAAUAAGAAUAAAUAUACCUGAGUCUUAGCUGGUCUAUCGAGUCCGUCACAAGGCCCAUCAUAUAUAGGCACUUCUACAUCCACAGGUCCAGCGCAAUGAAAGACUUCCAUGUGAUGUACGAUGUGUUCGUUACCCGAUUGGAUGGCGGGGCCGAAUUGUAAGAUGUGAUGCCUACCAACAAAAAAGAAUAUUCAUAAUUAUCCAACAAAAAAGAAUAUUUAUAUUUAUUAUUAUAUGUAUUAAUUUUUGAUUGAUAAAAACUAAUGCAAAAUCUAAGCGGAUUCCGAGCUGAUCAGAAUUUCAAAGCUAAUAAGGAAGAUGUAGCAGUGAUGAAACAUGUGGUCUCCUGCUUCGGCACUUGGACCCGAUGGGCAAGUACAUCGAGCUGCCAAGCAUUCGCGGGAAACUUCGGCUUCUUAUGGGACACCCUGCGCAAUUCCGUACGGGACAUGCCUGAGGCUUUUGCGUCCGAAAUCUCCAACCCGGUUAAAGAGGACAAGGGUCCACGGCCGCGAAGCCACACGAGAUGCGUGGUACCUCUCUAGAAACGCGAUUUUAAACAAUUAAUAUUUAGAGAGAGGGAUUCUUUAGCUGAUGCCUCAACUUUUGCGAAAGAUUUGCGAGCUUUCAAAAAUUAUAGUAAGCUUCACUUGCCUCAAUAAUAUAAUCGUGAUCGUCGCAGGUAUCGAAUUUGCGGAUGAAGGUGAACUUUGUGACGUUGCCGCGCCUUUUCCACGCAAAGUUUUUGCAGUCCUGCUGGUUGUCCAGUUGUAAUUUCCCAUCGAAAUCCACCCACGAAUCCUGUCAAUUAUUAGCAGAAGAGAGAUGAAUCUGUUUAUGCCAGUCGGGCCAUAAGACACAGUAAUCGGCCGGUUUCAGUUCUCCGUAGUCGGAAAAUCCGAUCGCGAACCAGCUGCUGUCAUUGCCGACGUAAUGAAUCUCUACGACCACCAGCUGAUUUAUUAAAUCCACCCUGAAAGUAUAUUCGAUGCUGUAUCAUUUUUCCAUGGACACUUGAAGAUUACAACGACGAAGACGAUCUUGCUCGAAAACGCACUUCCAAUAAAAAGUCGCCUCCGAACCGAGAGGAACCGAGUGGAUCGCGCUUGCAGGUACAUUUUCAACAAUCGAAGAAUCAUACCGAGACCAGCUCGAAUGGACACCCACGAGAGCGACUAGCAAUAGGAAAAAUAUCAUCGUUGAUGUGAUUAAAUCUUCCUCAAAGUACCCGAGUGAAUUGGCCGAGCGAUUCGUUUCUUCAAUUUGGAUUUUGAAUUAAAUCAAUCUGGAUCUUAAUGCCGGAGUAAAAUUAAUAGUAGUCGCUCACGCUUUUCAGGUAAAUUAUUUUCAAGUUGUUGAGAUAUUGUAGUUUUCUUAGUUAUAUAUAAUGAAUAUUAAAAGCUCUUUGUAUAAUUAUUCGAAAGAUCAGUAUCGCGAAAAGCCUGCGAGAAAGGUGAAUCUAUACUGAUCCUUGGACUGCGAACUUUCAUGUUCUGCAGAGUUCCGCGCUUGCGAAUCGAUGCCAAAUGCGCAAACUCGAGGAAACUGAUCCGGGAAUCAAAACUCCCUUCCACUAGCUCAAGGAAAUCCUCAGAGGAUUUUUCUUAAAUCGUUAGGAAAAUAUAUAAUUCAAUUUGAUUUAAAUUUGAUUUUAAUAUUGCCUAUUAUCAUCAAAGUUUCGCGGAAUUAAUUUCGUGUUAUCUAAUGUGUUCAUAUAUUAAUAAAAUAUCAAAUAGCGCAAUUAAAUAACUAAAGCACAGAAUAUAAUUUUCGUGUACAGUGUUUGCAUUUGACAUAAUCUAAUUUUUCUUCUUUCAGUCAUACAAAAAUUCAUUCAUAAUUCAAAUAUCAAAUAGAACAUAAUCUCAUCUGAGAUUGAUUAAAAGGAAAUAAACAAUUUCCAAUAAUUGAUGAGUUUGCUAAUGAAGACGGAGAAAUUAAAUAUCGUAGAUUGCCAAUUUGUGUGAAAUAUUUCAAAGUAUAUAAAAUAUCUUGAAACUUUCGGAGAAUUGUACAAAAACAGUCUUUAAUGUUCAAUCAUAUACAUAAUUAAGAAAGUUGCAAAUAUAUCCUUACUAUUUAUGACAUAGUAGUAAAUAUAUUCAUCAUUUAAAUGUAUGCUAUGUAUAAAUCACAGACUUCUAUAUUUAAUAUAUAUAAGUCACAGGCUUCUAUAUAGAAGUCUAUGGUAUAAAUACUACUAAAAAAGUAUAGAUAAAAUAAUAAAAGAAAGAUUACACUCCGAAUAGAUCAAAGAGUGAAUCGCGAUUAAAGUUAAGAUUAGGGCAUUUCAGAAUGCUCUAUUCAUGCGGAGAAAAGGAGAGCAUCUUAAUAAUAGAAUAUUUUUGCGAGGAAUAUAUUGCAUUCCAUUCGUGGCGCGUGCCUCGCGACCGGACUGCAAUCAGGAAAUACCGCAGAACACUUAUUACGCCCGGGGACUCCUUAUUGCGCGUUAUUAACGCGCAAAACAAUUCUCGUGUGAGGUAGACGAAUUGCAGAAAUACCGAUCGCGAGACGUGCAAGAAUAUUUUUCGCUCUAACUAAAUACGUACACCUAUAUUUGUAGAAUAGCGUAAGCAAUAGAUCAGCGAAAACAUGCGAAUUUCCACAUAAAGAAACUGUCACUAUAGAUCGUUGAGUAUAAAGUAUUGCAUUUCAAAAGGGUUGUAAUUCCAAUUGUUUCACGUUACAAGAGUGUUUAAAUACGUAUAAAAUGAUACGUCGCCUUUGACAAUUAUAUGUUAAAUAUAUGUUAAUAUUGUGUAAUAACUCUUUACAAAGCUAUGCUGAAGAAUUUCUAAUAAAAAGUAAAAUUAACUUUUUAAAUUACAAUGUGCUGCAUUGGAAAAAUGAGCGCUUUUUAAGAGUUUAGAUAUAUUAAUUAUGAUCAGCAUCAUUGGCAGGAUGAUCUACAUUCCAAACAUAUUUUGUUGAUUAUCAUUAAUAACUUCAUCAUUAUAGGCGCCUGCAGCUGUCCUCGCGCAACGAUUAAACUUAAUUGGAAUCAAUUAAUCAUAAUAAAGUUGCGUCAUUCGCGGUAAAUAAGUCAUCAUUUCCCUAUAAAAAAUAAAUGUACUGAAUUUAGUUGAAAAGAUACGAUUAUUCAGUAAUUGAUUAAAAUUGUCGAAGACGUCUCAUGUAUAUUUCC